GUCAAAAAGCCAAAAUAAAAGAUUUUAUUAGCCCUUCUAAAAGGAAAACUGCUGGAGGAAGGUGAGGAUGACCUCAAGUCAUUGUGCCCUGGGCGUAUUAACAGUAUGAGAAAGUUCGUCCCAGUUGCAAAUUACAAAAGAAAACAUAAUCUAAAAAAGUAGGUAGUUUCUUUUAAAGUCUUGUCUUCUGCAACAACUAAAAUCAAUGAAGCUGCACGACAUCAAACCCUUGCAUAAAAACCAAAUAGAUCCAACAGUAUGCAACUUUGUUGCCAGCAAUUAACUGCAGCUACUUUCAACUUUCCCGCUUGGGCUUACAGAUUUAUUUGCUUGUUCAAUUCUUGUAGUGGGAAUCAUACUAGUCCUUAUGAUACCAUUGAAUGCCCAUGAUGUCAUGGCCACUAUCACUUCCCAUCUAAUUCUAAUAUUUUGGCCUUAUUUCCAACAAUCAUUGUUUAAAACCCUAAUUGACAACAAAAACAUCUCUCCUUCCGAGAAAUGAUUAGAUACAAAAUAUUUAAAUAAAAAAAAAUCAUGAUAAAACCCAGCAGCGAAAACUCAUACCGCGAAAGAAUUUGCCUAUCAAGAUCCAUCUUGAGUGGAAA
rnacentral:misc_RNA from 1 species